GUAUGCUUAGGAGCAGAGAGGGAUUGAGUCUCAUCUUCAUUAGGUUUCAUUCAAUUGAUUGUGGAUUGGAUGAUGAAAAAACCAGCAAGCCCCUUUGACUUUAGAUUCUAUUAGUAAAGGGCGCAAUGAAUUGUGAUUGCGAAAACGUUAGAAGAUUUGGCCAAAGAAGGUGAUAACCCUGUAGAUUCAUUCCCAUGGUUCGAUCCUACCUAGUAAACGUGACGUAUUCCAAUCUUGAUCACUUUUUCAGGCGAAAAAGGGGGCCCUCUAAGUCUAAGUAUUCCUCAAUGACCGAUAGCAUACAAGUACCAUGAGGGAAAGUUGAAAUUAACCCUAUUUAGGGAGUGCAAUAGAGAACCUGAGA
rnacentral:ncRNA from 1 species